AUUGAACGCUGGCGGCAUGCCUUACACAUGCAAGUCGAACGGUAACAGGUCUUCGGAUGCUGACGAGUGGCGAACGGGUGAGUAAUACAUCGGAACGUGCCUAGUAGUGGGGGAUAACUACUCGAAAGAGUGGCUAAUACCGCAUGAGAUCUACGGAUGAAAGCAGGGGAUCGCAAGACCUUUUGCUAAUAGAGCGGCCGAUGGCAGAUUAGGUAGUUGGUGGGAUAAAAGCUUACCAAGCCGACGAUCUGUAGCUGGUCUGAGAGGACGAUCAGCCACACUGGGACUGAGACACGGCCCAGACUCCUACGGGAGGCAGCAGUGGGGAAUUUUGGACAAUGGGCGCAAGCCUGAUCCAGCAAUGCCGCGUGCAGGAUGAAGGCCUUCGGGUUGUAAACUGCUUUUGUACGGAACGAAAAGCCCUGGGUUAAUACCCUGGGGUCAUGACGGUACCGUAAGAAUAAGCACCGGCUAACUACGUGCCAGCCGCCGCCGUAA
rnacentral:rRNA from 1 species